rnacentral:rRNA from 1 species
ACUCCUACGGGAGGCAGCAGUGGGGAAUAUUGGACAAUGGGCGAAAGCCUGAUCCAGUCAUGCCGCGUGUGUGAAGAAGGUCUUCGGAUUGUAAAGCACUUUAAGUUGGGAGGAAGGGCAGUAAGCUAAUACCUUGCUGUUUUGACGUUACCGACAGAAUAAGCACCGGCUAACUCUGUGCCAGCAGCCGCGGUAAUACAGAGGGUGCAAGCGUUAAUCGGAAUUACUGGGGCGUAAAGCGCGCGUAGGUGGUUUGUUAAGUUGGAUGUGAAAGCCCCGGGGCUCAACCUGGGGAACUGCAUCCAAAACUGGCAAGCUAGAGUACGGUAGAGGGUGGUGGAAUUUCCUGUGUAGCGGUGAAAUGCGUAGAUAUAGGAAGGAACACCAGUGGCGAAGGCGACCACCUGGACUGAUACUGACACUGAGGUGCGAAAGCGUGGGGAGCAAACA